AGUUAUUAAAAUAAUAAGAUUGGAACUCACAGUGCAAAUUAAUCUGCCCAGUACUGCAAUAUUGUUGGAUGAAACUAAAGACUGUUGUAAAUAACAUAUUUCACAGCCUUUAAACUCGACACUGAGGAUGACACUUCAGGUUGGAUCACAAAGACUUUGUAGUGGCCCCCAGAAAGUUAUCCAAGGAAAAAAAAAUUACAAAGGAUUUUAAAUGUAUAGAUCUGGCACGCUGCAAAGUUUGAGAAUCUUGAUGAAUUUGGCUCAGAUCCUAGGAGUACAGCCCCAAGUAAAACUCAACACACCUUCAUGUUCCACAUUGUGAUGCUUUUUGGUCCAGAAGCACUGCAGUGAAUGGAAGGGCCUCUCACAGUCAAACUCCAUGGCGCCAAAAUUAAAACCAGCGUUAAGGAUGAAACCGGCAAUAAGGAAAGCAUCACCAGAUUUCUUUACAUUACUUAUUGCAGGACAGAAUUAUUUGAGCAGUAAUGCUUCCAGGACCUUUUGAUUCACCGGACAGAGACCAAUCCAAAACGCAUAAUGCCAGGGAAAAUAUAGAGUUAUACUCUGAAGGAUUUGGAAAAGACUAUUUAGCAAUCACAGCAGCACUUUGGCACUUGUGCGAGAGCGUUGCACGCCUGUGCGAGCACAACCUCGCGUCUCUUCCGUUGGACUUGACUUUGUCUGUAUUUGCAUCCAGCUGUCUUCCUGCACGAUAACCAGAACACCGGAAAUUUGCUGAGGAUGACACACACAAUCAAUGAGGAGAUUUUAGUCAUUGCAUCAAAUUAGCAAAUUCUCAAUCCUGACUAAGAUACAGCUAGAAAACGAGCUGCCAGCAACACCCUCUGAAGCAGAUGGUUCCCACCACUUGGAAUGCUCCUUUCUGUGCACUUCAGCAGCUCCUGAAAUAACAGAGUGCUGCAGAACGGAGAAGGAAGAUGACUGGAAAGUGAGACUCUUUCUUGUGGUUUGGUCAGUCCUCCUCUGCCCUCUUGAGAAAAUUCACUGGCAAGUCAUUACUAAUGACACACCUAUAUCUUGCCGAGUGCUGCUUUACAGGCACCUACUGGGCAUUUUUCACCUUGUUUAUCUGAAGGUCAAAAAAAAGAAGCAUGCCAUAAAGCACAGACUACCUGCAGAUUGUGGAAUAAUUGGAGUGCUAGAUGGAAAAGAAUAUAUUGAACAAAUUGUCCAAUAAAAUAAAUUACUUCUAUAAUGCAUCUCAAAACAUGUUAGAAAGUUAGGAAUUAUGAGCUAUAUCACACUGUGAAUUGGGUGUGUAUUUUUAAUAGUUCAGAUAAUUAACACAGGGCACUAUUCGCCAUGAGUUGUGGAAGGCUAUUGGUCACAUGAUGUUUAAAAAAUUAAGAUCUCGUAGCAUUCUAAAAUCAGGCUUUCUUUAAGUCAGGAACUAUUUAGAUUGGUGCAGGAGUAGUGAAAUGAAAUGCUAGAGAUUUUGCUCUGCAGGAUGUCAAAUUAGAUUAUCCAACCUUUAAAGCUAUAAAUACAUGAAUUAUUACACUUUUUUUACAAAUGAGAAAACUGAGGCAUAGACAAUAUCAAAGGGCUUUAUAAAUGUGAAUGACUCAAUAACAUUCUGCUAUUGUUUAUUAUCCAUAUUCCUGUUUUUAAAUGACAGAAUGGAGGCACAUAGAAAUGAAAUGACUAUCUAAAGUCACACCAGUCUCCUUCUUUAACCUGGUAAAUGGGUAAGUAGGCAUGCCAUUUUGACAUACUAAUAUAUGUGUUAAGGUAUUAAUUUCCCAUACUUCUUGAAUAUAUGGAUCAUUGGGGAGCAGUUUCUGUUGAAAACAGCAACAGUCAUGUUUUUCUCACUUCAAACUUCUUUUCCUAUUGUGAGUCUUCUAUUUAGCUGGAAGAAGUUCUUAGUUUUGUCUUAGCUUGGCAAGAAGAAAGUAUAAGAAAAUGGAGUAAUUUAGAUGACAGAAAACAGGGAUUUAAGGCUGGAAUGCACAGCAAUCAGAGCUCGGGGAGUGGGAUGCCAUUCAGACACACACUGGACUACAGAAUAUCAGUGGCAAAUUCCUCCCAAUCCAUUCAGGGUGGACUAUUUCGGGUGAAAAAUUAAUCAACAGUGUUUCAAGGUAUUUAGGAGGGCAAAGAAGCAAUGUCUUUCCUUUAUGGCUACACUGCAGUGAUCAGUGCCUCUGCAGGUGUGUAAUUUAAAGAGGUGCUAGGAAAAAGAUGAACAUAAACAGAAAGGAUACAGGGUGUACGCGAAGGUUACUGUAGAGGUUGCAGCUGAAUGACUGCAGGGCUACAUAACCCAGCCUCAGAUAAUACUCAAGUUUAUUUGCCUUGAUCUGAACUCUGCUUAGAGCCAGGACAGAAUGAUGAGAGGUUAGCAGGGUGAUGCCACACAGAACAAAAUAACCUGCAGAGAGAAGUUUCUUACACAAUGAGACAUGGCAGUCCGAGUCCCUACCGCUGUGGAUCACUGCAACACCACAUGUAUUUGUAGAAACUCCAUGCAUUUUACCAUGCGGCUGCAAUACAGCUGAAUACUGCAGCUCUUUGACCAGCCCCAGUAGCACCAAACUCAGGCCUCACGUCCCAGUAACCACACAGCCACUCGGUCAGUCUGGCUCAGAAACAAUUAAAAAAGAAAGAUUCUUAAUGACAUUGACCUCUGCCAGAAAGCAAAGUCUUCCUUCAUCUGUUUGUCUCUCUACUACUACUAAUAGUCAGAGAUAUACCAAAAAAGAGAAGUGGCUGACUUAUCAACAUUAUUUUCCUUGUUCUUGAUCUAGGUCAUCAAGUAGAUUAAUAUGUAGUUGCAAGCUGUUCAUUCAUUGUAGAGGAGCAUGUACAUAGCAGGAAAUAUCUCCCAUGGCGCUGAUAAACUCUCAGAGGCUAUAGGCCAAGGUGUUUAUGCUCCAAUGGAGACAUUUGUGCCAAGUACCUGCUCCCAGUGAUAUAGUUAUAAGCAUUAAACUCGAAAUGUAACUUUAAAAAUCUAUUACGGUAUAUGGCUUUUAUUAUUUCCAAGACGGACAACUGUGUUGGUUAUUAUCAAUAUGUUGUGAAAGAAGCUUUGACGCCUGGGAUUUGAGGCAGGGGGAUGGGGGAGAGGCAUGCAGGAACAUUUAGGCCAAAUAUUAACAAACUGAUUAAGCCUUACAAAAACGUUGGAGAGAAAUGUUUCCCUUUUCUUUCCAGCCCCAGCUUUCAGAAUGCACCCAGAAAGAAGAGUGCCAGAUAACCAUGUAACUGAUAGCAUCUAACCACCUGCUUGCCAAGCUCCCUCUUUCCCAGUCUCUCCAUUUCAAGGAUCUUCCCAGUAUUCCUAAAAUCCUCCUGAUUACUUUAUGUCUUGUCCACGUGAUCUCCCCACAGUGGGAAGGACUUACUGAUUUACCCCAUCCAUCACUAUCUCUGAAUCGACUCUACCUACUACUAUCCAAUUGUGCC
rnacentral:lncRNA from 1 species